GUCCCUACGAGGGGCAGCAGUAGGGAAUCUUCCACAAUGGACGAAAGUCUGACCGAGCAACGCCGCGUGAAGGAAGAAGGAAUUCGUUCUGUAAACUUCUGUUAUAAAGGAAGAAAGACGGAUGGAGGAAAUGACAUCCGAGUGACGGUACUUUAUGAGAAAGCCACGGCUAACUACGUGCCAGCAGCCGCGGUAAUACGUAGGUGGCAAGCGUUAUCCGGAAUUAUUGGGCGUAAAGAGGGAGCAGGCGGCAGCAAAGGUCUGUGGUGAAAGACUGAAGCUUAACUUCAGUAAGCCAUAGAAAA
rnacentral:rRNA from 1 species